rnacentral:sRNA from 2 species
GAUCAUCGAUAUGAGUAUGAACUUCUCGCUGGCUUCUGGACAAGUACUCAGGCUGCGAUAUCUAUAUUAAUCAAUGUUCCUAGUGCCCUUGUUGUUGGUGCAGGCGGAGCAGGUCUCAUGGCCGCCGUCGGCCUUGCAUAAAGCGGUUUGGAGACACCAUGCAUAUCGAAGUUGUUUCCAACAAGGUCACACACAGUAGCUGCUCAAGGGGGCAUCAAUGCUGCUCUCGGGAAUAUGACAUCGGACGACCGGAAAUGGCAUAUGUAUGACACAGUUAAAGGUUCG